GUAUAAUUAGGGUUUAACUGUAUUUUAUUAAGGUUUUACCUUUUGCAUCAUGAUAUAGCGAAUAUGCCCCUGUAAUGGGUUUUUAGAAUAGCUUGGAUUUAACUUUUAUUGAUAGAAAGGGUAUUUCUAUUUAUUAAAUAUUUGUUGGGAGUGAUAAAUUAGUCGGCAAGUUGGAUAACUAAUAGCCAAAUUAGUAAUUUAAAAACCUGAUAAGCGUAGAGGUUUAGCAGGGGUUUAUAAAUUUUAUAUUUUUAUAUAACAGGGGUUUAAAGGUAACUGUUGUUAUUAGGUGUUAUAACUAUAAAUUUUAAAGUAAAAUUUUUUGAAAUAUUUGGUGUAAUAAAACAUGUUUUAUUACAAAAUGUUAUAAUAAGUAGUUAAAUAUGUUACUUAUUUUUCGUUUUAAAUUGAACUGUUUAUUAAAAACAUUGUUAUAUAAAAGCUUAUAUAAUAGGGCCUGCUCAGUGAAAGUUAACAGCCGCAGUAUCUUGACUGUGCUAAGGUAGCAUAAUUAAUUGUCCUUUAAAUAGGGAAUUGUUUGAAUGGUUGUUUUAAUUUAAAAAAUAUAAGUAGUAUUAUAUAAUUGAAAUUAGUAUUUGGGUAAAGAACCCCAAAAGGUAUUAAUAGACGGAAAGACCCCGGGAGCUUAAUUAAAAUUUAUUUGGGGCAAAGCUCUAUAUUUCAUAGAGAUGGUGAUCCUUAUUAAGGUUUAAUGGAAAAGUUACCCCGGGGAUAACAGGGUAAGAAAUAAGGAGAGUUCAUAUUGAUUUAUUUAAUUGCUACCUCGAUGUUGACUUAAAAGAGCUAUUAGGUGCAGCAGCUUAAUAAGCAGGCCUGUUCGGCCUUUAAAAUUUUUCAUGAGUUGAGUUAAGACCGGUGUGAGCCAGGUCGGUUCUUAUCUUUAGGUGUUAGACCUUAGUACGAAAGGAUUGGGUCUAAGUUAUGUU
rnacentral:rRNA from 1 species